rnacentral:rRNA from 1 species
UACGUAGGCAGCAAGCGUUGCUCGGAAUUACUGGGCGUAAAGCGCACGUAGGCGGUCUUUUAAGUCGGGGGUGAAAUCCUGGAGCUCAACUCCAGAACUGCCUUCGAUACUGGAAGACUUGAGUCCGGGAGAGGUGAGUGGAACUGCGAGUGUAGAGGUGAAAUUCGUAGAUAUUCGCAAGAACACCAGUGGCGAAGGCGGCUCACUGGCCCGGUACUGACGCUGAGGUGCGAAAGCGUGGGGAGCAAACAGG